UAUAAUACUUUACAUCGGGUAAAUUGACGAGAACAUG
rnacentral:guide_RNA from 1 species